rnacentral:rRNA from 1 species
AUUGAACGCUGGCGGCAGGCCUAACACAUGCAAGUCGAACGAGUGGCGGACGGGUGAGUAAUGUCUGGGAAACUGCCCGAUGGAGGGGGAUACCUACUGGAAACGGUAGCUAAUACCGCAUACCAUCGGAUGUGCCCAGAUGGGAUUAGCUAGUAGGUGGGGUAACGGCUCACCUAGGCGACGAUCCAUAGCUGGUCUAGGAGGAUGACGGACAACAUUGGAAGUAGGACACGGUCCAGACCCCUAAGCGAGGCAGCAGUGGGGAAUACUACACAACGGGCGGAAGCCUGAUGCAGACAUGCCGCGUGUAUGAAGAAGGCCUUCGGGUUGUAAAGUACUUUCAGCGAGGAAGCGUUACUCGCAGAAGAAGCGCCGGCUAGCUCCGGGCCAGCAGCCGCGGUCAUAC